CUCCUCGCUGUUCCUCAAGAACAAGAGCCGUGUGAGGAGUUCUGAGAUUGACAGCUGUAAAAAAGGAAAAAGAAAAUGAAACGCAGUGCUGACUCAUUGACCAAAAUUUGAGUUGUGAGAUUUGAAACGAGGACUGAUAUCGGAAAACUGUCUUUGAAAUUACAAAUCACAACUGAUUAAAAAAAAAAAAAAGAAAGAAAAGAAAAGGAAAGAAAAAAGAAAAGAAAGAAUGGAAGAACAAGUCCAGGAUACACAAUCACUAUGACAUGUGGCCCCUGCCUGGGAGAAGAGCCAGAGGGGUUAUUAUUAUUCUCAUGCUAUAGACAAGGCAAGCAAAGCUCAGAGGAGUGAAGGAGUAAGUGGAGGAGCUGAGCGUCCACUCUGCUCUACAAUGACUUUCCUGAAAACAGGCUUCUUCAGAGGAUCUGAAUGGUCAUCACCCAGAGCUGGAACGAUCACUUGGUGAGUCCACCAGUCUCAUCUCUUGGUCACUCAGUUACUCACUUCUUGGCUCAUUGGUCAUGAUAGACAGAAUAAUGCCCUCCUCACCGAAGAUGGCCAUGUCUUAAUCCUCGGAACCAUACAUAUGUUGCGUGGCAAAGGGAAAUUAAGCUUGCAGGUAGAAUUAAGGUUGCUAACCAGCAACCCUUAAUAUAGAUGAUUAUCCGGGAUUACCCAGGUGGGCCCAAUAUAAUCACAAGGGUCUUUAAAAGUGGAAGCAGGAGGAGAAGAAGAGUCAGUCAGUGUCAGAGAGACAUGAUGUGAGACUCACCCUGCCAAUGCCGGCCUUGAAGAUACAAGGAGCCAAGAGCCAAGAAAUGCAGACAGCCUCUAGGAGCUAGAGAAGAUAAGGAAACAGUUUCUCCCCUAGAACUUCCAGGAAGAAAUACAUCCCUGUUGACAUCUUGAUUUUAGCCCAGGGAGUCUAUCAUCAGACUUCUGACCUCCAGGAUGUGACCAGCUUUUGUAAAGUUAUGGAAGAGUUAAGGUGUCAAGAGCAUGGUGUCCUUUGGAUCUACUGCUGUUGUUCUGCAUAGAUGGACUCAAACACAGGAUCACUGGCUCCUAGAAAGUCACCAAUUGUUGAGCCAAAAGAUUUUCCAACCCUGAUCCACAGAGUCAUGGGUAUUAGAGAGGCUUCAUAGCCAAGCAUAGAGGAUGGAACUAUAUCAUUCACUGGGCUUCUAUAUAAGAUUUUACUUGCAAGAAGACUUUUCCUGCUGAAUAAGAAGUUUGAAAGCCACCUAGUCCAAAUCACUAACUUUCGAGAUGAGGAAAUCAAGGAACAGAUAUGGUUACUUGCCUCCAAGCAGGCUCCAGAAUUCUUGUCAUCUGUCUUCUUUUUUUCCCUACAAGGAUAAUAAAACCACUUGGUUGACUUAAAAGGUCUUUUGGCCAAAGGACGUGGUAACACGUGGAUCAGCUUUACCAUGAGAGCAUUUCCGCUUGCCUAGUACAGCAUGUCAUGUUCACAGCUGCAGCCGUCAUAGGAAAAUGGAGUCCUUUAUAUCCUGUUAAACCACUGGAGAGAGAUUUUAGGGGUCUAUGUGAGAAGUGGGACAUAGGAGAGAGUUGAAACAUCCAAGAAGCCCCCUGACCCAAAGGAGGAGCUCCAACACUGCAACCAGAGGACGUAUGACAGAUUCCACUCCACCACAUGUCUUCAUGAGAAGAGGCAAUACCAAGAAAUGCAAGCAGGCACCCAGCAACCCAGAGGCACGACAACAAGUGGGAGGAGCCACUGCAAAAAAAUGGAACAGGAAAAACAAAGAGCACAGCCGCAGUCCUGAGGCAGGCUGGAAUUUAAGUUCUUUGGAAGACAGAUGUAUCCAAUUCAGCCUGGGGUUCAAAGACCAUAACAUACUGAACACUCUGAAGUGCUGGGGGUGUUCAGGAGUCUGAUUUCUGGGUGGAUGUGUUGGAACUCCUCACCAGCUACAGGAUGGCCGAGAACUGCAAAUAUUCCUGCUAAGAUUCAGGCAGCUGGAAGUUCAGCUGGCGUUUACGUGAGCUGAAAGGAGAGAUCAAGACCACGUCCAGAAUCAGCUAAAACCCGUCAAAGCAGUGUGGGCAACGGGCAGAGACGGGGAGAGAGAAGGCUCUGGAUUGUGCUUGCCUUUGCCAGAGCAGCCCAGAAUCUUCCAGCAGCCUGUCUUUUCCAAUUGUAAAUGAUUUCCUUGUGAUGGUUAUUGGGAGAUGAUUCCACACUUGUGGGUCUUCUGCCUUUGCAUGUUCUGCCACUUAAUUUCUUUCAUUUUGCAUAGUUACUUGUCAUCAC
rnacentral:lncRNA from 1 species